rnacentral:rRNA from 1 species
UACGGAGGGUGCAAGCGUUGUCCGGAUUUAUUGGGUUUAAAGGGUGCGUAGGUGGCCUGUUAAGUCAGGGGUGAAAGACGGUAGCUCAACUAUCGCAGUGCCCUUGAUACUGAUGGGCUUGAAUGAACUAGAGGUAGGCGGAAUGUGACAAGUAGCGGUGAAAUGCAUAGAUAUGUCACAGAACACCAAUUGCGAAGGCAGCUUACUAUGGUUUUAUUGACACUGAGGCACGAAAGCGUGGGGAUCAAACAGG